CGCAUUCUACGAACCUUGCCGAACGCUCGUCUCUUAUGAUAAACUCGCGAAUCGUUUAUCGUAGGGUAUCUAAUCGUACAAAUUGAAGAAUCAUCUUCAAUUUUCCUCAGUAUACCUCUCGCGGCUCGAGGGAUAAAUGAUACGACGAUACGCCAAGCGAG